rnacentral:rRNA from 1 species
AUGGAUGAGGUCACAAGGGAUAUACAAGGAGAUAGCCCAUGGUGUAUGCUAUUUGCGGAUGAUGUGGUGCUAGUUGACGAUAGUCGGACGGGGGUAAAUAGGAAGUUAGAGUUAUGGAGACAAACCUUGGAAUCAAAAGGGUUUAGGCUUAGUAGAACUAAAACCAAGUACAUGAUGUGCGGUUUCAGUACUACUAGGUGUGAGGAGGAGGAGGUUAGCCUUGAUGGGCAGGUGGUGCCUCAAAAGGACACCUUUCGAUAUUUGGGGUCAAUGCUGCAGGAGGAUGGGGGUAUUGAUGAAGAUGUGAACCAUCGAACCAAAGCGGGAUGGAUGAAGUGGCGCCAAGCUUCUGGCAUUCUCUAUGACAAGAGAGUGCCACAAAAGCUAAAAAGCAAGUUCUAA